rnacentral:rRNA from 1 species
AACGAACGCUGGCGGCAGGCUUAACACAUGCAAGUCGAGCGCCCCGCCAGGGGAGCGGCAGACGGGUGAGUAACGCGUGGGAACGUACCUUUUGGUUUGGAACAACUCCGGGAAACUGGAGCUAAUACCGGAUAAGCCCUAACGGGGAAAGAUUUAUCGCCGAAAGAUCGGCCCGCGUCUGAUUAGCUAGUUGGUGAGGUAACGGCUCACCAAGGCGACGAUCAGUAGCUGGUCUGAGAGGAUGAUCAGCCACACUGGGACUGAGACACGGCCCAGACUCCUACGGGAGGCAGCAGUGGGGAAUAUUGGACAAUGGGCGCAAGCCUGAUCCAGCCAUGCCGCGUGAGUGAUGAAGGCCUUAGGGUUGUAAAGCUCUUUUGUCCGGGAAGAUAAUGACUGUACCGGAAGAAUAAGCCCCGGCUAACUUCGUG